CCACUUGGGCAGUGAAUAUAUUAAAAAUUGGAAUGACAAAGAGAUUAGCAUAGCCCCUGCUCAAGGAUGACUGGCAAAUUUGUGAAGUAUUCCAUAUUUCU
rnacentral:snRNA from 1 species